AGAGUUUGAUCAUGGCUCAGAACGAACGCUGGCGGCGUGCUUAACACAUGCAAGUCGAACGAGAAAGCCAUCUUCGGAAGGCGAGUACAGUGGCGCACGGGUGAGUAACGCGUAGAUAAUCUGUCUUAAUGUCUGGGAUAACCCUUCGAAAGGGGGACUAAUACCGGUUACAUAAAUACCUGUCGGGGUAUUUAGGAAAGGUGGGGCUCCUUCGGGACCUAUCGCAUUUUGAGGAGUCUGCGUACCAUUAGCUAGUUGGUGGGGUAAAGGCUUACCAAGGCAACGAUGGUUAGCGGGUCUGAGAGGAUGAUCCGUCACACUGGCACUGAAACACGGGCCAGACUCCUACGGGAGGCAGCAGUGAGGAAUAUUGCGCAAUGGGGGAAACCCUGACGCAGCGACGCCGCGUGAGUGAGGAAGGCCUUCGGGUCGUAAAGCUCUGUCAGAAGGGAAGAAAUGUAUAAUGGUUAAUACCCAUUAUAUUUGACGGUACCUUCAAAGGAAGCACCGGCUAACUCCGUGCCAGCAGCCGCGGUAAUACGGAGGGUGCGAGCGUUGUUCGGAAUCACUGGGCGUAAAGGGCGCGCAGGCGGUUUUACAAGUCAGAUGUGAAAGCCCGCGGCUCAACCGUGGAGGUGCAUUUGAAACUGUAAGACUUGAGUACCAGAGGGGGUAGUGGAAUUCCCGGUGUAGAGGUGAAAUUCGUAGAUAUCGGGAGGAAUACCGGUGGCGAAGGCGACUACCUGGCUGGAUACUGACGCUGAGGCGCGAAAGCGUGGGGAGCAAACAGGAUUAGAUACCCUGUAGUCCACGCCGUAAACGAUGUGAACUAGAUGUUGGAGGUGUUGAUCCCUUCGGUGUCGGAGCUAACGCAUUAAGUUCACCGCCUGGGGAGUACGGUCGCAAGAUUAAAACUCAAAGGAAUUGACGGGGGCCCGCACAAGCGGUGGAAGUAUGGUGG
rnacentral:rRNA from 1 species